AUACAAUGGAAAAUACUGGUUAUAUUACCAGGUUUUGACUGGAAUGCCAGGCUUCACGUUGCUCAGAAGUUGCUUCCAUGAGGACGUCUCCCAGCAGCUGUCAAUGUUUCCAAUGAGCCAUCGCCAGCCCCUGCAAUCAGCCUCUCAGGCUGGAAAUGCGGCAACCUUGCCUGGCCAUCCCGGAGGCCCCUGGUUCUCUGUUCUGUGGUGUCAUAUGCACUACGCUGACUCACACCUUACGGCACGGUUUCUUUUGCUCUUAAGCCGGCACACGCGUUUUAAAGGUAAUUUCCUCCGUUAGAGAAGUCGCGUACACUCACCCUGCUAUUUGCCAUUUCUGGAGCUCUUUAUUUCCUUCUUCAUAUCUGCAUUUCCCUCUGGAAUCAUUUCCAUUCAGCCCGAAGAGCUCUUCUGCCUGGGAUUCCACCCUCUUUUCUAGCAGCUGGGCUCUUCCUCUGCUGGGUCUGGCCAGGGGACACUGGGUUUUCUGUUAGGGUUUCAGUUGCCCCGUGUGGUGUCAAUGUCAACGUGUCUGCAGGCUGGAACCAACAAUGAGCACCCCCUCGGCCUGGCCCUGAGCUCCAAGGCCCCACUCCCACGGGGUCUUGCUGCCAGGACCCCACUGUCUGCAUCCUGUCCAGAGUGUUGAGGAAGGCAGAGUCCAGUGGGAUCUCUCGGCCUUCCCAGGGUUGAGUCCAUGCUCUCACCUUUCCUGGGAGGCGCUCGGAGCCAACAGAACAACAAGGGGCCUUUCCCCGUGGCUCCCUCCCCUCUGGAGAAAAUGGGUCAGACCUGGUUUCUCCAUAGUCACUGUCCCUAAAAUGAAGCCGGGCUGCUAGAGGCAGUUGCAUCUUCCGGCACCAAGACCCCAGAGUCCCUGUGAGAAAGAGGACCAACGACGAUGGAAGCCUUUCUCUAAUGUGCGCACAGCCGGGCCGCUCCUCUGAAGGUGCUGAGCCGCCUCUAAUCACAGCGCCACACUGGCUGCAGGUCGCUGGGUGUAGGAUGAAUCCAGCUGUGAAGAGGCUGCAUUUUCUGGGAGGUUUCUGUGAAGUUACUGAACAGCCAAAAGGUAAGCAGUUUUAAUUGAUUUGUGAGUCUUCAAUUAAGCACAGCAGAAUGCUAAUGAAAUAUUCUCUGUUCUUUAAAUAGAGAAUGCUUUAAAUAAUUCAGCACAAUCUUUGCAUAACUCACACCUUUCAGCUGAGGUGCCUGUCAGCAGUGAAGUGAUUGAGAGCACACACUGUCCCGAAGACACAGCCCCCUUCCCUCUGGGGACGCGCAGCCUGCAGAACAGAUGUCAUCUGAUGCAGGACUGUGGUUUAAAAACUCGUUACGGGAAGCAUGAGGCUGGACCCAGGGGACCCUGGAGGCGAUGCAGGGGCUUCAGCAGCCGAGAAGCUGUUGGAGGAGGAGCCCUUGGUGGAAGAGGGGACAGUUUGAGCCUCCGGCCUCCAAUUCCGUCCCGCUGGCUUCUGGGCUGCACCUCCAGGAGUCCAGCUAAACCCACAGGGCUCUGACGUCCAGACUUUAUUAAAUGUUUCCUCUAAUAGUUCUGGCCAUUCUGCUGGGCCAUUAAAGGCCACCCCAGGGCCACAGA